UACAGAGGUCCCAAGCGUUGUUCGGAUUCACUGGGCGUAAAGGGUGCGUAGGUGGUUGGGAAAGUUUGAUGUGAAAGCUCGGAGCUUAACUCCGAAAUGGCAUUGAAUACUUCUUAACUUGAGGGUCGGAGGGGAGACUGGAAUUCUCGGUGUAGCAGUGAAAUGCGUAGAUUAUCGAGAGGAACACCAGUGGCGAAGGCGAGUCUCUGGACGACUCCUGACACUGAGGCACGAAAGCUAGGGGAGCAAACAGG
rnacentral:rRNA from 1 species